GGCCUUUGCAAGAGAGAUGUCUUUGUCCUUGGAUUGAAAGGUGAUUUCCUGGGUGAACUUUUCCCUUGCAGACUUGACGACCUCCUGAUAAACAUUGAGGCGGGAUGAAUCCCUGGUCAUCUCAUUAGUAGAAAGAGAGGAAGCUGAUGCUGAAACAGAAACAAUUGCAGUUGCAUUCCUUGUCCAUGGGAAAAGGGUCUUUCUCCUUCUCAUCCACAUCCAACGUUGAUCAUGAUCAUACCUGAUGGGUCGAAGAUCACAGGGAAUUGCUGGCAUAGUUGUUGAAGAAUUAGCAGCACAAGUC
rnacentral:misc_RNA from 1 species